AUUGAACGCUGGCGGCAGGCCUAACACAUGCAAGUCGAGCGGAUGAAGGGAGCUUGCUCCUGGAUUCAGCGGCGGACGGGUGAGUAAUGCCUAGGAAUCUGCCUGGUAGUGGGGGAUAACGUCCGGAAACGGGCGCUAAUACCGCAUACGUCCUGAGGGAGAAAGUGGGGGAUCUUCGGACCUCACGCUAUCAGAUGAGCCUAGGUCGGAUUAGCUAGUUGGUGGGGUAAAGGCCUACCAAGGCGACGAUCCGUAACUGGUCUGAGAGGAUGAUCAGUCACACUGGAACUGAGACACGGUCCAGACUCCUACGGGAGGCAGCAGUGGGGAAUAUUGGACAAUGGGCGAAAGCCUGAUCCAGCCAUGCCGCGUGGGUGAAGAAGGUCUUCGGAUUGUAAAGCACUUUAAGUUGGGAGGAAGGGCAGUAAGUUAAUACCUUGCUGUUUUGACGUUACCAACAGAAUAAGCACCGGCUAACUUCGUG
rnacentral:rRNA from 1 species